rnacentral:rRNA from 1 species
GAUGAACGCUGGCGGCGUGCCUAAUACAUGCAAGUCGAGCGAAUGGAUUAAGAGCUUGCUCUUAUGAAGUUAGCGGCGGACGGGUGAGUAACACGUGGGUAACCUGCCCAUAAGACUGGGAUAACUCCGGGAAACCGGGGCUAAUACCGGAUAACAUUUUGAACCGCAUGGUUCGAAGUUGAAAGGCGGCUUCGGCUGUCACUUAUGGAUGGACCCGCGUCGCAUUAACUAGUUGGUGAGGUAACGGCUCACCAAGGCAGCGAUGCGUAGCCGACCUGAGAGGGUGAUCGGCCACACUGGGACUGAGACACGGCCCAGACUCCUACGGGAGGCAGCAGUAGGGAAUCUUCCGCAAUGGACGAAGGUCUGACGGAGCAACGCCGCGUGAGUGAUGAAGGCUUUCGGGUCGUAAAACUCUGUUGUUAGGGAAGAACAAGUGCUAGUUGAAUAAGCUGGCACCUUGACGGUACCUAACCAGAAAGCCACGGCUAACUACGUGCCAGCCGCCGCCGUAA